rnacentral:rRNA from 1 species
UACGGAGGGUGCAAGCGUUAUCCGGAUUCACUGGGCUUAAAGGGCGCGUAGGCGGGUUCGAAAGUCUGUGGUGAAAGCCUCCAGCUUAACUGGAGAAGUGCCAUGGAUACUGCGAACCUGGAGGAGGGUAGGGGCAUCUGGAACGCUGGGUGGAGCGGUGAAAUGCGUUGAUAUCCAGCGGAACUCCGGUGGCGAAGGCGAGGUGCUGGACCCUUUCUGACGCUGAGGCGCGAAAGCCAGGGGAGCAAACGGG